GAAUUCACUAGUGAUUGAGUUUGAUCCUGGUUCAGGAUGAACGCUAGCGGCAGGCCUAACACAUGCAAGUCGAGGGGUAGAACACUUCGGUGUUUGAGACCGGCGCACGGGUGCGUAACGCGUAUGCAAUCUACCUUGUACAGGGGAAUAGCCCAGAGAAAUUUGGAUUAAUGCCCCAUAGUAUAUAACCUUCGCAUGUUGGUUAUAUUAAAGUUCCAACGGUACAAGAUGAGCAUGCGUCCCAUUAGUUAGUUGGUAAGGUAACGGCUUACCAAGACGAUGAUGGGUAGGGGUCCUGAGAGGGAGAUCCCCCACACUGGUACUGAGACACGGACCAGACUCCUACGGGAGGCAGCAGUGAGGAAUAUUGGUCAAUGGUCGCAAGACUGAACCAGCCAUGCCGYGUGCAGGAAKACGGUCCUAUGGAUUGUAAACUGCUUUUAUACAGGAAGAAACCCUCCCACGUGUGGGAGCUUGACGGUACUGUAGGAAUAAGGAUCGGCUAACUCCGUGCCAGCAGCCGCGGUAAUACGGAGGAUCCAAGCGUUAUCCGGAAUCAUUGGGUUUAAGGGUCCGUAGGCGGUCUUAUAAGUCAGUGGUGAAAGCCCAUCGC
rnacentral:rRNA from 1 species